GAUUUCAUCCCCUUUCGUUGUGAGAUUAGUUUCUAGAUCUUAAUUUUUUCUUUGAAAAUUCUUGAUCUCUGCUGGGCUUUCUUAGAUUGCUCAUGUAUAUGAUUUUUGAUUGGUCUCUGUGUUUUGUUUCUUGGACUGAGCUUUGUAUUACGUAGAUUCCGAGCUCUGUAUGCUGAGGUUGGAUUGGUCUCUGGGAUUUGAUUGCAGUAGAUUACGAGCUGUGUUUUUUUGGUUUGCUGGGAUGUGAUUGCAGUAGAUUCAUGUUCCUUAUUAUGUGUUUGUUGGAUUUGCUGGGAUUUGAUUGCAGUAGAUUCAUGUUCUUUAUUAUUAUGAGUCUUUGUGGCAUGCUCUCUUACUUAGUUUUUUUUUUUUUUUUUCUUAUUCUGAGUUAUUGCUUGUUCUUAUUUUGUAUGUAGGCCUUUAGCUGAGAAGAGAGAUCAGAUAGAGCUCUUGCUUUUGCUUUGACAGAGGUAUCAAAACAUAACUGGACUUUAUCCAUUUCUUGUUCUGCCAACUGAAGAUGUGUCUUUUGUUUAUGAUUGUGGGGUUUUCGUUUGAUCAUUCUUGUGGUUUUAGUGUUAAUUAUGUGUUUAGUUUUGAUUAUGGGUGCUUUUAAAAUUGAUGCUUUGGUCGAUGAGAGUCUAUGAAAGUGAUAUUAGUCUAAAAUUGAUUUGGUCUUACAUUAUUUGUGUCUAAAAGUGAUGGACAAUGAUAAAGAAUGUCUUCCAAAUGGUGGUGGUGGUGGACCUAAUGGUGGACAAUCAUCAAGUGGGUCACAAUAUCCGCUUGUAAGUUCUUCUCAUUCAAAAAGAACUAGAAGAUCAAAAGCAUGGGACUACUUUACAAUAGGAAAAGAUGAGAAUGGUCAAGAGAGAGCAUAUUGUAAGAAAUGCCCCAAAAACUAUUUGUGGUUUAGAAAUUGUGGAACUUCUAACCUGAAACGUCACUCUGGGAAAUGCUCCCUUGGACUAGAUGGUGAAAGAAAAGAGAAGAAGAUUGAUGACAAAGUUGCUAGGGAAAAUUUAGUAGAGUAAUUAUCUGGCAUAACCUUCCUUUCCGUUCAGUUGAAUAUGAGGAACUCAGGGAUUAUUUUAGUUAUUUAAACCCGGAUUAUAAGUGUUAUACUAGGAACAUUGCUGCACCUGACGUGGUUAAAACUUGGGAGAAAGAGAAGCAAAAACUGAAGUCCGAGUUAGAAUAAAAUUCCUAGUAGGAUAUGUUUAACCUCUGACUGUUGGACUGCUUCUAUCUCAGGAGAUGGAUAUAUAGUCUUGACUGCAGAUUAUUUAGAUGAGAAGUAGGUAUUGCAUAGCAAAAUUUUGUCAUUUUGUGAUUUGCUUCCUCCAAACACCGAUGAUGUUUUAGCUAGUAAAAUUCAUGAAUGCUUGAAAGAGUGGGGAAUUGAGAAAAAAAGUGUUUACUUUGACAUUAGAUAAUGCCACAGCUAACGAUUGUAUAUUUUGAAGGAUAUGCUGAAUUUGGAUGAUAAUCUCUUGUGUAAAGGAGGAUUUCUUUCACGUGCGUCGCUGUGCUCACAUCUUAAACCUUAUAGUACAUGAUGGUUUAGAUUUUAUUAGUGGUGCAUUGUCUAAGAUUCGAGAUACUGUGAAGGAUUUCAAAGCUUCAACAGCUAGAAGGAUUGCACUCUCCGAUUGUAUAGAAGGUGAUGAAGAAUCUGUCUUCUCUUUGGAUGUUCAGCAUAGAUGGAAUUCAACUUAUUUAAUGCUUGAGAAAGCUUUAAAGUAUGAGCGUGCUUUAAAUAGGUUCAAAGUGGUUGAUAAAAGCUACAGAUAUUGUCCUUCGAGUCAAGAGUGGAAGAGGGCAAAGCUUAUCCACUAGAUUUUGAUGCCUUUUUACUGUAUUACCACUCUACUGUCUGGGACAAGUUACAAUACAUUUAACUUAUACUUUGGACAUAUUUGGAAGAUUCAAUGUUUGUUAAAAGUGAAUAGGAGCAAUGAAGAUAGCAUCAUUAGAGAGAUGAUUUCUAAGAUGAGAAUAAAGUUUGAUAAAUAUUGGGAGCAGUAUAGUGUUAUUCUAGCAUUGGGGGCUGUCUUAGAUCCUAGGAUGAAAUUUAGACUUUUGAAGCGUUGUUAUGAUGAUCUUGAUCCCUUCACUUCGAAAGAGAAGAUUAAACACCUUAAGGAUAAGCUUUAUAAGCUUUUUGAAGAGUAUAGGAAAAAGUAUUCUUUAACUCCUGUUGUGAGCUCAACAAGAGUAGAUUCUCGUGUUGCUAAAAGAGGAAGAGGGAACUUGGAUGUACAAGAUGUAAGUUUGUUGAGUUAUUUUAUUUAUGUUUGUUGAUUAUAUAAUCAUUCGUUUAAGUGUCAAAUAAUCUUUGAUCUCUUCUCUUUAAAUGAUACAUGAUCAAUUCGAUUUUUAUGAUGUUCUAGACUAUAUGGAAGAAGGAAAGUCAGCUUUGGAUAUGUAUUUAGAGGAUACAAAGUUAGAUAUAAAGAGUCAUCAUAAUUUGAAUGUUCUGCAGUAUUGGAAAGAAAACAUAUAUCGUUUUGGCGCUCUGACAUAUAUGGCAAUGGACGUUCUUAGCAUUCCUAUAACUAGUUAACUACAGUCGCUUCUGAAUCUUCGUUUAGUAUUGGUUCUCAGGUUAUAAGCAAGUAUCGAAGUAGAUUGUUGCCUAGUAAUGUCCAGGCUCUAUUGUGUACACGUUCGUGGAUACAUGGUUACCUACUUGAUGAUGAAGAUAAUGGCGAAUGUGAGAUGGUUAUUAUUUGAUCAAGUCCAAAUGAAUUAGAAGAAUCUGGAAGCAGCCAAAGAACUGAGAACCUUCAAUCCAAUCCAUAAUUUCAGGAGGAAGUUUAACAGUACCGAGCAACUUACGGAUAGUACAAUGGCAAGCACGUAA